GUGGGGAAUCUUCCGCAAUGGACGAAAGUCUGACGGAGCGACGCCGCGUGAGUGAAGAAGGCCUUCGGGUCGUAAAGCUCUGUCAUCAGGGACGAAUGGCCGGUGGAGUGGAAAGCCACCGGAUUGACGGUACCUGAGAAGGAAGCCACGGCUAACUACGUGCCAGCAGUCGCGGUAAUACGUAGGUGGCAAGCGUUGUCCGGAAUUAUUGGGCGUAAAGCGCGCGCAGGUGGGAUCUUAAGUCCAUUUUGAAAGUUCGGAGCUCAACUCCGUGAUGGGAUGGAAACUGGGAUUCUUGAGUACCGGAGAGGAAAGCGGAAUUCCCCGUGUAGCGGUGAAAUGCGUAGAUAUGGGGAGGAACACCAGUGGCGAAGGCGGCUUUCUGGACGGUGUCUGACACUGAGGCGCGAAAGCCAGGGGAGCGAACGGGAUUAGAUACCCGAGUAGUCC
rnacentral:rRNA from 1 species